UAAUCUCACCAUCCGACUCUUUGUCGGCAUGUUGUGGAUUUGGAUGUUGCUGUGUCUCAAUGGCUCAUCUGAAAUACUUGAGUACAUCCUGGACUGUGAUGUGUUCGGUGUGAUAAAGUUUCACCGUAUUGACCCUAGUGGUCACACUUGCUCGACCAAGGCUCUGUGCUUCCAACCGUCCUGAUUUGGACAACUUUGACA
rnacentral:misc_RNA from 1 species